CUCCAUAGGUCUGCUUCAGAUACUCAAAUGGAAUUUCCAGAUGGUUGCCUUCUCUAAGGAGGUUGAGAUCUAUCAGCUGGAGCAGCCAGGCUCCUUUCCUUUCUGAAGUGCAGAGGAUGCCAGAGGAGAUAGAGAUGGAAAAUGAGAUACAGAAAAGUUAAGUGACUGGCACCAGACCCCACAGCCUGAAAGCAGAGGAGCUGAGAUUUGAGCCUAGGAAGUCUGGACUCAGAGCCUGCACUCCUAACAACUAUCC